rnacentral:rRNA from 1 species
UACGAAGGGUGCUAGCGUUGCUCGGAAUCACUGGGCGUAAAGCGCACGCAGGCGGAUUGCUAAGUCAGGUGUGAAAUCCUGGAGCUCAACUCCAGAACUGCCUUUGAUACUGGCAACCUUGAGUCCGGGAGAGGUGAGUGGAACUGCGAGUGUAGAGGUGAAAUUCGUAGAUAUUCGCAAGAACACCAGUGGCGAAGGCGGCUCACUGGCCCGGUACUGACGCUGAGGUGCGAAAGCGUGGGGAGCAAACAGG